rnacentral:rRNA from 1 species
GACGAACGCUGGCGGCGUGCUUAACACAUGCAAGUCGAGCGGAAAGGCCCUUCGGGGUACUCGAGCGGCGAACGGGUGAGUAACACGUGAGUAAUCUGCCCAUGACUUCGGGAUAGCCAGCCGAAAGGCUGAUUAAUACCGGAUAUGACGCCCUCUGGCAUCGGGGGGUGUGGAAAGGUUUUUCGGUGCAUGGAUGUGCUCGCGGCCUAUCAGCUUGUUGGUGGGGUAAUGGCCUACCAAGGCUUCGACGGGUAGCCGGCCUGAGAGGGUGACCGGCCCCACUGGGACUGAGACACGGCCCAGACUCCUACGGGAGGCAGCAGUGGGGAAUAUUGGACAAUGGGCGGAAGCCUGAUCCAGCAACGCCGCGUGAGGGAUGACGGCCUUCGGGUUGUAAACCUCUUUCAGCACAGACGAAGCGCAAGUGACGGUAUGUGCAGAAGAAGGACCGGCCAACUACGUGCCAGCCGCCGCGGUAAAAC